rnacentral:rRNA from 1 species
AUGGAACAUAACAAAGCUCCAGGCCCAGAUGGUUUCCCCGCAGAAUUCUAUCAGAAUUUCUGGGAUAUCAUCAAGGAUGACCUUAUGGAGUUGUUCAAUUGUCUUCAUGCCGACCGACUUGAGCUAUUUAGGCUUAAUUUUGGCGAGAUUGUCUUGUUGCCAAAGAUUAAGGAGGCUGAACGGAUCCAGCAGUUCAGACCCAUAUGCCUCCUUAAUGUCAGCUUCAAGAUUUUCACCAAAGUGAACCUAAGUGGAGUAGUAUUCAAAAUUGACUUUGAAAAAGCCUAUGACAAGGUCAAAUGGUCUUUUCUCCAACAGGCCCUAAGGAUGAAAGGUUUCUCUGAAAAAUGGUGCAAGUGGAUCCAAAAUUUUGUAACUGGAGGUAGUGUGGCCAUCAAAGUCAAUGAUGAUGUAGGUCAUUACUUCCAGAUAAAAAAAGGACUACGGCAGGGUGACCCCAUGUCCCCAAUGUUAUUUAACAUUGUGGCUGACAUGUUGGCUAUUCUGAUUGAGCGCGCCAAGCAGGACGGGCAAAUUGCUGGGGUAGUGCCA